AAAUAGCACUUUGCAGAGAGAGUUAACAGGGCGUGAAACCGUUAAUUGGCAAACGAAUCGGAGCCACGAAGUCGUUUCGUUGAUAAGUCUUUGGUUUUAGUUCAGCAAAUAAUAUAUAGAUAAAUAUGUAUUACUUGUGUAUUCUAGUUAAACAUGACUAUCUUUGUAAGCGUACACUGCAACCAGUUAGACAAUUGGCUAUGGGCCCAGUUUUCAAUCAAGUUAGUAGUAGUAUGUGUUUUGGGUUUUAUUAUUCAUUCGCAUGUUGCUGGACUUGUUUAUAAGUGAACUAUGGCCAAAUACUGACUGGAACAAUGAAAAUUGCAUUAUUGUAAUGCAUAAUACAAAAUGCCGCCAGUUAUAUAGAGGGUCUACAUUUGCAACCAUGAGGUUUUAAGCUCAACGUUUUUGAAUUUGAACUUGCUUGCUACCAAUGGGGCAACUCUUGGUGCUUGUAUAGCUUUCAUCUAAUCGGGCGUUGACUUGAUCUUGUGUUUAGUUUGUCAAAUGAAACGCUAAGAUUCUUAUAUAAAUUGGUUGGCCAUCUUGAAUUGGCAGUGAGUAGGUCGGCUUUCCGAACGACCCGUCUUGAAACACGGAAGGAGUCUAAUUAGGCAUCAAGUCGAUCGGUCUUGAAUAGGCCAGACUGAGAUUAAUAUUUCAAGAAGGCGUAGAGAAAUCAUGUGAUCAUUUAAUCAAACCAGAUUCAAUGCGCAACAUGUGCCUGUUCGUAUAGUAGCCUGUAGCAAUAACUACUGAGCGGAGUAAAGAGAUGCCUGAUUGGUACCCGAAAGAUGGUGAGCUUGGGCAAAUUGAAGCCAGAGGAAACUCUGGUGGAGGAUUUAGUUCUGACGUGCAAAUCGAUCGUCAGCUGAGUAUAGGGGCGAAAGACUAAUCGAACCAUC
rnacentral:rRNA from 1 species